UCUAACUAAUGAAUUUAUGUAUUCAUUUAAACUUUUCUCUUAAAGUAUCUAUCAAGUAACCGACUGUCCCUAACGCAAGUGGCAAAAGGCUUACUGGUUGGUACCCGAGGUCCCAAAUUCAAAUCCUAGUUGUUUCAUAUAUCUAGCUACCCGAGGUCCCAAAUUCAAAUCCUAGUUGUUUCAUAUAUCUAGCUAAAUUUAUGGGUAGUAUGCUACCUUUUUUCUUAAAAACACAAAAAAAAAUUCUAUCA
rnacentral:lncRNA from 1 species